rnacentral:rRNA from 1 species
CAGCUAGUUGGUGAGGUAACGGCCCACCAAGGCGACGACGGGUAGCCGGCCUGAGAGGGUGACCGGCCACACUGGGACUGAGACACGGCCCAGACUCCUACGGGAGGCAGCAGUGGGGAAUAUUGCACAAUGGGCGCAAGCCUGAUGCAGCAACGCCGCGUGAGGGACGACGGCCUUCGGGUUGUAAACCUCUUUUAGUAGGGAAGAAGCGAAAGUGACGGUACCUGCAGAAAAAGCACCGGCUAACUACGUGCCAGCAGCCGCGGUAAUACGUAGGGUGCAAGCGUUAUCCGGAAUUAUUGGGCGUAAAGAGCUCGUAGGCGGUUUGUCGCGUCUGCUGUGAAACCCGGAGGCUCAACCUCCGGCCUGCAGUGGGUACGGGCAAACUAGAGUGCGGUAGGGGAGAUUGGAAUUCCUGGUGUAGCGGUGGAAUGCGCAGAUAUCAGGAGGAACACCGAUGGCGAAGGCAGAUCUCUGGGCCGUAACUGACGCUGAGGAGCGAAAGCGUGGGGAGCGAACAGGAUUAGAUACCCUGGUAGUCCACGCCGUAAACGUUGGGAACUAGAUGUGGGGGCCAUUCCACGGCUUCCC